UACGGGGGGUGCGAGCGUUGUCCGGAAUCACUGGGCGUAAAGGGCGCGUAGGUGGCCCGAUAAGUAGGGGGUGAAAUCUCGAGGCUCAACUUCGAGGCUGCCUCCUAAACUGUCGGGCUUGAGCAGAGUAGAGGCAGGUGGAAUUCCCGGUGUAGCGGUGGAAUGCGUAGAGAUCGGGAAGAACAUCGGUGGCGAAGGCGGCCUGCUGGGCUCUUGCUGACACUGAGGCGCGACAGCGUGGGGAGCAAACAGG
rnacentral:rRNA from 1 species